rnacentral:rRNA from 1 species
AGUGAACGCUGGCGGUAGGCCUAACACAUGCAAGUCGAACGGCAGCACAGUAAGAGCUUGCUCUUACGGGUGGCGAGUGGCGGACGGGUGAGGAAUACAUCGGAAUCUACUUUUUCGUGGGGGAUAACGUAGGGAAACUUACGCUAAUACCGCAUACGACCUACGGGUGAAAGCAGGGGAUCUUCGGACCUUGCGCGAUUGAAUGAGCCGAUGUCGGAUUAGCUAGUUGGCGGGGUAAAGGCCCACCAAGGCGACGAUCCGUAGCUGGUCUGAGAGGAUGAUCAGCCACACUAGAACUGAGACACGGUACAGACUCCUAGGGGAGGCAGCAGUGGGGAAUAGUGGACAAUGGGCGCAAGCAUGAACCAGCCAUACCGCGUGGGAGAAGAAGGCCUUCGGGUUGUAAAGCCCUUUUGUUGGGAAAGAAAAGCAGCAGGUUAAUACCCCGCUGUUCUGACGGUACCCAAAGAAUAAGCACCGGCUAACUUCG